UAAUGGGACUCCAUCUUGAGGCCGUGUCUAUCCCGCCUACCUCACUAGUUUCCUUCCACUACACUGAAAUCACUUGCAACUUUACCUCCUUCAUCUUUCUUUUCUAGGAAAAUUGUAUUAAUGAUAAUUAGAAUGUAUUUUAAUACCAUAAACAUGACUUUUCAGUUGAUCAUAGUUCAUCAAUUAGCUAUGAUGCUCCAAACACAAACAAACAGGUGUGUGCGUGCACACACACACACACGCACACACACACACACAAUAUAAGGGUGAUUCACUGUGAGGCUAGUGUUUGUGAAGUG
rnacentral:lncRNA from 10 species